rnacentral:rRNA from 1 species
GACGUAGGGUGCAAGCGUUGUCCGGAGUUACUGGGCGUAAAGCGCACGCAGGUGGUCGCGCAAGUGCCAUGUGAAAGCCGGUGGCUUAACUGCCGGAGGCCAUGACAGACUGCGCAACUGGAGCCCGUGAGAGGUCCGUGGAAUUGCCGAUGUAGCAGUGAAAUGCGUAGAUAUUGGCAGGAACACCGAAGGGGAAGCCAGCGGACUGGCACGGUGCUGACACUGAAGUGCGACAGCGUGGGGAGCGAACCGG